UUUAAGUAAGAAUUCAUUUAGGUAUACGUUCAAUGUUUCCAAUGAUGAGCCACUCAUCCACUAAACCCAGAGAUAAUUCCUGAGGCAUGUUUAAAGAGUUUUGUAUUUCAUCAAGAAGGUGCUGCUGAUUCACAAAGAUUUUAUAUUUAAGAAAAUCUGAGCAUCAUUCCAAAUAACUGUUAACAUGUUUGUCAACUAAACAUGUUUUGUAAACGUAAUAAACUUUAUAAAAAUAUUUUUUAUUUUUUAUUAAUAAUCAAGUAUAAAGAACAAUGCAUAGUGUGAAAACGCGGAUUAUAAAAAGUAUAUUAAAGAAAAGGACUACAUUUCCCAGAAUGCACCUGCACCUACUCAUCUGCCCCCACCCUUCAGGUGUGACUGCUCAACCUAUGGGCUUGACGGGAAAAUUCAAAAUCGCGAACCGUUACUGCCUGGACUACUCCGUCUCUUAUUUGUUUGUUUGCUCAUCAACAGUAAGAGGUCAUGUACACUGUGGUCAACUUUGUGGACGAUGAAGAGGUUUCUGGGUAAAGCUGAUAGAAAUAUAACGAAGUAACAGUGAAAGCUAAAACAUCAGACUGAUCCAGACACUGAAGAAAUUGAUGUCACUGCAAUCUGGCCAAAAUGAUACAACUAUAUUGAAGUAGCCUACUGUAAUGAAGCUGCAGAACAACACAGAGACUCUGAGGACAUCAACACAGAAAAUUAAGGCUCCAAAGAGAUGUCUGUCCAGAUGAGGGUGCAUCAACGUUACCUUUGCUGACAAGUAUAUGCUUUACAAUGUAAAACCUAACAGUUAACUUAACUCAAACCAUUUAAGGAAAUCGGUUGCCUUAACCCAU